UACGUAGGUGGCGAGCGUUAUCCGGAAUGAUUGGGCGUAAAGGGUGCGUAGGCGGCCUGCUAAGUCUGGAGUGAAAGGUACCGGCUCAACCGGUACAGGCUCUGGAAACUGGCGGGCUAGAGAGCAGGAGAGGGCGGUGGAACUCCAUGUGUAGCGGUGAAAUGCGUAGAUAUAUGGAAGAACACCAGUGGCGAAAGCGGCUCUCUGGUCUGUAACUGACGCUGAGGUUCGAAAGCGUGGGUAGCAAACAGG
rnacentral:rRNA from 1 species